AAGUCGUAACAAGGUUUCCGUAGGUGAACCUGCGGAAGGAUCAUUAACACUUUGCUAUCCAAAACCUUAUUUGGAUCAACCCAACCACUCGGGCGAACCGAUUGCCUUUGUUUUCCCUUGCCCCUUUUUCAAACACCUCUGACCAUCAUUGUGUCUGAACGGUUUCUCUUCCUGAGAAACAAAACUCUAACGCAAUACAACUCUUAACAACGGAUAUCUUGGCUCUCGC
rnacentral:misc_RNA from 1 species